ACCAAUAGCAUCAUUCACAUCAUUAUGCCUGUACCAGUGAAAUAUAAGUGUACUAAAUGUGGAGGAGAAACAAAUUAUCCGAAUAUAUUAUGUUUAGAAUGUAUAGUUGAACAGAUUUCACGUGACGUAUAUGGUAUAAAACAUCCCUAAUACAACUGUUACGUCUAGUAGUAAUCGAGUUGCUUUCAAAGAAACACACACAGCGAUAAAAAUAUGUAUUUGUUGUACAUUAUUCUUCUACUUUCACAAAUUUGCAACAUCCUAACUUCAAAAGUUAUUUAUAUCAAUACACCAUACAAGUUGGAAAAUGGUAGCUUUUUAUUAAUGGAAGUACAUCCAGAUACGAUUAUUUUGAAUGAAUAUCCAGCUUUCUACUCUGAAAAAUCAAUACCGUUAUAUUCUACGGUAACAUGUAAGGACAAAGGAAAAAAGUAUAGGUGCGGAUACGUUAUUGGAUCACACGAAAACUUUCAUCCCAUUGUUCCAUUCAAAAGCCGAUUAAUGUGCGGACAUCAUAGCAUUGAACAAUUCCAUAAACCAUCCAUAACUUACAGAGGUUUCUGGUGGACAACUGUUGAAGAUUUUUAUGAAUAUGCAAAUAUUAAUCUCAAAAAAUAUUUAGCUUUACCAGAAAUUUGUUAUGUAUACUUAUUGUCAUCUAAAAAAGAUGAAUUUUUGAAAAUAACCCAUACAUUGUGAAUACCUACUAAUUAAUAAACGUUAAUAAAUUA